rnacentral:rRNA from 1 species
AUAGUACUGUUUAUGGUAACAUAGGUAGAGACUUCUUAGAGGGACAUUUCGGGUUUACCGAAAGGAAGUUUGUGGCAAUAACAGGUCUGUGAUGCCCUUAGAUGUUCUGGGCCGCACGCGCGCUACACUGACGACUUCAACAAGUUUUUUGGCAUUGCCAAAUUUCCUUGGCCGGAAGGUCUGGGUAAUCUUUUAAUGUUCGUCGUGAUGGGGCUAGAUUUUUGCAAUUAUUAAUCUCCAACGAGGAACC